rnacentral:rRNA from 1 species
AAAUUGAAGAGUUUGAUCAUGGCUCAGAUUGAACGCUGGCGGCAGGCCUAACACAUGCAAGUCGAACGGUAACAGGAAUCAGCUUGCUGAUUCGCUGACGAGUGGCGGACGGGUGAGUAAUGUCUGGGAAACUGCCUGAUGGAGGGGGAUAACUACUGGAAACGGUAGCUAAUACCGCAUAAUGUCGCAAGACCAAAGAGGGGGACCUUCGGGCCUCUUGCCAUCGGAUGUGCCCAGAUGGGAUUAG